UACGUAUGGGGCGAGCGUUGUCCGGAAUUAUUGGGCGUAAAGGGUACGUAGGCGGUUAGAUAAGUCAGAUGUAAAAGCGUGGGGCUCAACCCCAUAAAGCAUUUGAAACUGUGUAACUUGAGUAGUGGAGAGGAAAGUGGAAUUCCUAGUGUAGCGGUGAAAUGCGUAGAUAUUAGGAGGAAUACCAGUGGCGAAGGCGACUUUCUGGACACAAACUGACGCUGAGGUACGAAAGCAUGGGGAGCAAACAGG
rnacentral:rRNA from 1 species